GCCGCGGUAAUACGGAGGAUGCAAGCGUUAUCCGGAUUCAUUGGGUUUAAAGGGUGCGCAGGCUGUAAGGCAAGUCAGUGGUGAAAGCCCUGGGCUUAACUCAGGGAUUGCCAUUGAAACUGUUUUGCUAGAGUGUAGUAGAGGACGGCGGAAUGAGUUGUGUAGCGGUGAAAUGCAUAGAUAUAACUCAGAACACCUAUUGCGUAGGCAGCUGUCUAUACUACAACUGACGCUGAGGCACGAAAGCGUGGGGAGCGAACAGGAUUAGAUACCCUGGUAGUCCACGCUGUAAACGAUGAUCACUCGUUGUUGGCUACUUAGUAGUCAGUGACCAAGGGAAACCGAUAAGUGAUCCACCUGGGGAGUACGUCGGCAACGAUGAAACUCAAAGGAAUUGACGGGGGCCCGCACAAGCGGAGGAACAUGUGGUUUAAUUCGAUGAUACGCGAGGAACCUUACCUGGGCUUAAAUGCUGGCUGCAUUGGAGGGAAACCUUCAUUUCCUACGGGACCGCCAGCAAGGUGCUGCAUGGUUGUCGUCAGCUCGUGCCGUGAGGUGUCGGGUUAAGUCCCAUAACGAGCGCAACCCCUAUCGCUAGUUGCCAGCAUGUAAUGGUGGGGACUCUAGCGAGACUGCCGGUGUAAACCGGAGGAAGGUGGGGAUGACGUCAAAUCAGCACGGCCCUUACGUCCAGGGCUACACACGUGUUACAAUGGCCGGUACAAAGAGCAGCCACCUGGCGACAGGGCGCUAAUCUCUAAAACCGGUCUCAGUUCGGAUCGAAGUCUGCAAUUCGACUUCGUGAAGGUGGAUUCGCUAGUAAUCGCGCAUCAGCCAUGGCGCGGUGAAUAAGUUCCCGGGCC
rnacentral:rRNA from 1 species